rnacentral:tRNA from 1 species
GCCCAGGUGGUGGAAUUGGUAGACACGCAGGACUUAAAAUCCUGUUACCUUAGGUAGUGCGGGUUCGAUUCCCGCCCUGGGCACCA